ACGAGAAUUCAACUCCGAACCAUGUUUCCUAACGCCCGAUCCGACAUCGGAAGCCACGGAACAUGGUCGAGGCCGAUCGCCAUACGGCGAACGAGCCGAAGGUCCGUAUGGAAACGUCCGGGCCCUCCAUCUUGAGAAGGAGCACGAACAUGAACGCG
rnacentral:ncRNA from 2 species